AUCCCUGUAGCGCAAUAGAUAGCGCGUUGGUCUUCUAAUCCGAAGGUUAUGGGUUCGAAUCCUACCUGGGAUG